UACGUAGGGUGCAAGCGUUAUCCGGAAUUAUUGGGCGUAAAGAGCUCGUAGGCGGUUUGUCGCGUCUGCUGUGAAAACUGGGGGCUCAACCCCCAGCCUGCAGUGGGUACGGGCAGACUAGAGUGCUGUAGGGGAGACUGGAAUUCCUGGUGUAGCGGUGAAAUGCGCAGAUAUCAGGAGGAACACCGGUGGCGAAGGCGGGUCUCUGGGCAGUAACUGACGCUGAGGAGCGAAAGCGUGGGGAGCGAACAGG
rnacentral:rRNA from 1 species